rnacentral:rRNA from 1 species
AAAAAUUUUAAAAAUAGGCAGAAACCAAAAUACAAGAAGUAAACAAAUAACACAAAAAAAACACUUUUAUAGAUAGUAAUUUAAUCAGAAACCCACCUACGCCCCAGAAAAAAAGUACCGCAAGGGAAAAAUGAAAUAAAAUCAAACAAAAAAUAAAAAAAAGUAAAGCUUAAACCUCCUACCUCGUGUAUAAUGGAUUAACAAGAAAGAGGCAAAAAAAUGCCAACCCCGAAACCAAGCGAGCUAAUCUUUCUCUCUUGCAGAAAGAACAAGAUACUGUUGCAAUAGUAUCCCUAAAGAAAAGAAUAGAUGUGAAAUGCUAACCGCGCUAGGAUAUAGCUGGCUUUCCGAGAAAUUAGCCUAAGCUAAGACUUUCUAACAAAGUAGAAAAAAAUUGAAACCAUUAAAACAAACCUCCAACAAUCCUUUUUUAAGGUCAGAAAAUCAAGGACAAACUUGAUCUUCAAGAUGGAAAAAGCCAAUAUUUUCAGUUAAGGCCACCAAAAAAACAAAUAGAUUACAAAAAAAGAAUAGGCCUAGAAGCAGCCCCUUAACAAAAAAGCGUUAAAGCUUAAACAAAAAAGAAUCUAAAAAAUUAUUGAAAAAAAGCCAAGACUUAAAGAAAAUUAUCGGAAUAUUCUUUCACAAACAAGAAAAAAAAAUGUUAAUAUGAGUAAGACCAACUUUCACCUGCUAACCCUAUACGACAAUAACCAUGAAAGGAGAAAUAAUGAUAAUAAAAAACAGAUUUCACACAACGUCUUCCAACGCAGGAGAAAAAGAAAAAAAAAAAAAAAAAAAAAGGAACUCGGCAAAAGGUGCUUCGCCUGUUUACCAAAAACAUCGCCCCUCGUAAACAAAUAAAAUGAGGGGUCCUGCCUGCCCAGUGACUAAAGUUAAACGGCCGCGGUAUCUUGACCGUGCAAAGGUAGCAUAAUCACUUGUCUCCUAAAUAGAGACUGGUAUGAAUGGCAAGACGGAGCUAAACUGUCUCUUUUUUUUCCUCUGAAAUUUACUUCCACGUGAAGAGGCGUGGAUAAAAUCGCUAGACGAGAAGACCCUGUCGAGCUUAAAGCAAAAAAUAAGGCCCAUUCUACUAGUCUAAAACCACUAAUUCAAAAAUUUACAGAAACUAGACUUUAAAGCUCUUAUUAAAGCUUUGGUUGGGGCAACCGCGGAAAAGGAAAAUCUUCCGCUAAAAACAAUUAAAACAAGGAAAACUACCCUACUACCAAAAAUGAAAGAAUGAUCCACCUAGGUGAUCAAAGGAACAAGUUACCGCAGGGAUAACAGCGUUAUCUUUUUUGAGAGUUCACAUUGACAAAAAGGUUUGCGACCUCGAUGUUGGAUCGGGACAUCCUAAGGGUGCAGAAGCUCUUAAGGGUUGGUCUGUUCGACCAUUAAAGUCCUACGUGAUCUGAGUUCAGACCGGCGAAAGCCAGGUCAGUUUCUAUCUUCGUAAAAAUCUUUCUUAGUACGAAAGGACCAGAAAGAAAGUGUCCAUGCAACUGCCACUGUAAACACUACAAUUAAAAAC